GUGGCAAAGGCUGGGUGGUCACUUCAUCACUCUCGGAUUGCUAUUGGAUCGUCAGCACCAUAGUGGACGAGUCAUCUUUAGUUGUAUCAAUUAUAAAGUGAUUCUUAGUCAUUGGCUUUCUAUAACAUAGGUUGGCUUUCUUAUUUUAAACCCCUCUUCAUCAUUCAUCAUUGUAUAGAUAAAUUUGGCUAUCAAUAAUCUUGUUGUGCACAAGGGUGGAACAAUAAAUUAUUUUAGUGGGGACUUCCAAGCUUUCAAC
rnacentral:lncRNA from 1 species